UGCGGGUCACCGCCCAGACCAGUCCUGGAGCGCGCCAGCUGCAGCCUACGCAAUCUCCAGGAAGCUGCUGUUGAGAGAAACAGAAGCCAUUCUCCUCAGCUCCCUGCAUCCCGCCCGGGAAAACGCAGGGCCAGAGGUGAAGGCGGAGCCUCCUCUGGGGGGUGCAGGAUUUCUUGGAGCACAAAGUGCCCUUGAACUCAAACGGUGGCUGAAGGUGACUGACUGCUGAUCCCCCUGCCUCCACCCUCCUGGUGCUGAGAUCAUCAUCCACACCCGACUUAGGACGUGGUGGAGAUCCGCUCCGAGGGCUUCCUGCUAGACAAGCACCCUAGCAACUGAGCUGCAUCCAAAUCCUGCUGGCUACUCCAAUCGCUGACCGCUGACCGACCGGGGCUGCCCCUUGGAGCUUCCGGGAAGUCCGAUUAGAGUGUCCCUCAUACCUCCCUGCCUAACACUAUCCUCCAUCCACUUAGGACGCCUGAAAUUCACAGUUCCCCACAAAAUCACUUUUAAAAAUAGAAAGAGAGAGAGGAGAAAGGAAGAAAUGUCGGUGUGCUGGCGCCUCAGGAACUAUGGAAUCAACAACUGUGAUUAUUUCCAAAGCCUACACUCACCACCUCCUCUCACCAUACAUAUGCAAUGCAUCAUUGAAAUGGUCAAAGGGAAUAAGACCAUACAGACUUCAGGGAGUUAAUUACUGAUGGUGGUUUGAAUUACGUGGUCUCCAUAGGCUUAUAAGGAGUAGCAUUGUUUGAAAGGAUUGGGACAAAUGGCCUUGGUAAAAUAGGUAUACCUUUGGAAGAGGAGGUACUUCACUAGGGCUGGGCUUUGAGGAUUCAGAAGCUCCAGCCAGACCCCGUGGCUUACUUGCUCUUCAUGCUGUCUGCUGAUCCAGAUGUAGAGCUCCCAGCAAAUCUCCAGCACCAUGUCUGCCUGCAUGCCACCGUGCUUCCUGCCAUGACGAUGAUAAUGAACUAAACCUCUAAACUAUAAGCCAGCCCCAGAUAAAUGUUUUCCUUUGUAA